rnacentral:misc_RNA from 1 species
GAUGAAGAACGUAGCGAAAUGCGAUAAGUAAUGUGAAUUGCAGAAUUCAGUGAAUCAUCGAAUCUUUGAACGCAGAUUGCGCCCGCCAGUAUUCUGGCGGGCAUGCCUGUUCGAGCGUCAUUUCAACCAUCAAGCUCUGCUUGCGUUGGGGAUCCGCGGCUGCCCGCGGUCCCUCAAAACCAGUGGCGGGCUCGCUAGUCACACCGAGCGUAGUAACUUUACAUCGCUAUGGUCGUGCGGCGGGUGCUUGCCGUAAAACCCCCCAAUUUUUAAGGUUGACCUCGGAUCAGGUAGGAAUACCCGCUGAACUUAAGCAUAUCAAUAAGCGGAGGA